CGCAAUGGGCGAAAGUCUGACGGAGCGACGCCGCGUGAAAGAGGAAGUGCUUCGGCACGUAAAAUUCUUUUAUAGGGGAGAAAGUUUAUUGAUAGUACCCUACGAAUAAGAGGCUACAAACUCUGUGCCAGCAGUAGCGGUAAUACAAAGGCCUCAAGCGUUAUCCGGAAUUACUGGGCGUAAAGGGUGUGUAGGUGGUCUAGUUAGUCUUUCGUUAAAUUCUUCGGCUUAACCGGGGACAUGCGGGAGAAACGGCUAGACUAGAGGAUGCAAGAGGUACAUGGAACUCAUGGAGUAGGGGUGAAAUCCGUUGAUAUCAUGAGGAACACCAAAAGCGAAGGCAGUGUACUGGUGCAUUCCUGACACUCAAACACGAAAGCGU
rnacentral:rRNA from 1 species